rnacentral:rRNA from 1 species
CGCAGCAGGCGCGAAAACUCUACAAUGCAGGCAACUGCGAUAGGGGAACAUCGAGUGAUACUCAUUUUGGGUGUCUGUCCCACCGUCUAAAAAACGGUGGUUAGCAAGGGCCGGGCAAGACCGGUGCCAGCCGCCGCGGUAAUACCGGCGGCUCGAGUGGUGGCCGAUAUUAUUGAGUCUAAAGGGUCCGUAGCCGGCUUUGCAAGUCUUUUGGGAAAUCCAGCGGCUUAACCGUUGGUCGUCCGGGAGAUACUACAUUGCUUGGGACUGGGAGAGGUAAGAGGUACUCAGGGGGUAGGAGUGAAAUCCUGUAAUCCUUUGGGGACCACCGGUGGCGAAGGCGUCUUACCAGAACAGGUCCGACGGUGAGGGACGAAAGCUAGGGACACGAACCGGAUUAGAUACCCGGGUAGUCCUAGCCGUAAACGAUGCUCGCUAGGUGUCACAACAAUCGUGAAUUGUUGUGGUGCCGUAGGGAAGCCGUGAAGCGAGCCACUUGGGAAGUACGACCGCAAGGUUGAAACUUAAAGGAAUUGGCGGGGGAGCAC